ACUCCUACGGGAGGCAGCAGUGGGGAAUCUUGCGCAAUGGGAGCAAUCCUGACGCAGCGACGCCGCGUGCGGGAUGACGCCUUUCGGGGUGUAAACCGCUGUCACCGGGGACGAAUCCUACUGGGAGGCAAUGCCCAUGUAGUUGACGGUACCCGGAGAGGAAGCACCGGCUAACUCCGUGCCAGCAGCCGCGGUAAUACGGAGGGUGCGAGCGUUGUUCGGAAUUAUUGGGCGUAAAGCGCGCGUAGGCGGUUCUUUAAGUCUGUCUGUGAAAGGCCGGGGCUCAACCCCGUGCAGUGCAGGGGAUACUGGAGGACUUGAGAGAUGCAGAGGCCAGCGGAAUUCCGGGUGUAGCGGUGGAAUGCGUAGAGAUCCGGAAGAACACCGGCGGCGAAGGCGGCUGGCUGGGCAUCAUCUGACGCUGAGGUGCGAAGGCGUGGGGAGCAAACAGGAUUAGAUACCCUGGUAGUCCACGCCGUAAACGAUGGGUACUCGGUGCUGGGGGGA
rnacentral:rRNA from 1 species